AGAGUUUGAUCAUGGCUCAGAACGAACGCUGGCGGCAUGCCUAAUACAUGCAAGUCGAACGGACACUUCGGUGUUAGUGGCGCACGGGUGAGUAUCGCGUGGGAACCUGCCUCUUGGUUCGGAACAACCUCGGGAAACUGAGGCUAAUACCGGAUACGACAGCUGACUGUGGUGGUUGGCUGGGAAAGAUUUAUCGCCGAGAGAGGGGCCCGCGUCCGAUUAGGUAGUUGGUGGGGUAACGGCCUACCAAGCCUACGAUCGGUAGCUGGUCUGAGAGGAUGAUCAGCCACACUGGGACUGAGACACGGCCCAGACUCCUACGGGAGGCAGCAGUAGGGAAUAUUGGACAAUGGGCGCAAGCCUGAUCCAGCAAUGCCGCGUGAGUGAUGAAGGCCUUAGGGUUGUAAAGCUCUUUUGGCGGGGACGAUGAUGACGGUACCCGCAGAAGAAGCCCCGGCUAACUUCGUGCCAGCAGCCGCGGUAAUACGAAGGGGGCUAGCGUUGUUCGGAAUUACUGGGCGUAAAGGGCGCGUAGGCGGCGCAUGAAGUCAGGCGUGAAAGCCCCGGGCUCAACCUGGGAAUUGCGCUUGAUACUCUAGUGCUUGAGUUCGGGAGAGGAGAGUGGAAUUCCCAGUGUAGAGGUGAAAUUCGUAGAUAUUGGGAAGAACACCAGUGGCGAAGGCGGCUCUCUGGACCGAUACUGACGCUGAUGCGCGAAAGCGUGGGGAGCAAACAGGAUUAGAUACCCUAGUAGUCC
rnacentral:rRNA from 1 species